CCUACAGAUAUGGACACUGCUCUGAGGCAGAUUCUCCAGCAGAACCAGAAGGAGAGGAGAUGCAGAGAAGAGAAAACAUCAAGAAACGAGUCAUGAUUGAGAUCAAACUGCAAGAUGAAGGACAGCAGACUGAAGGACACAAAGAACCAUCAGAAAUGGGUGAACAAUAUCAAUGACAAUGAAGCUAUAAGAACAGAUAAACAACCCUAUAAUAUA